rnacentral:sRNA from 1 species
GAGAGAGCGAGUCGGUGCUACUGGCGCCGGGUCGGUCCGGGUAGGCGCAGCGGGACUGGACCUGGGUGCCGAGCGGAGCCGCUGCCAUGGGCCUGGGCGUCAGCGCUGAGCAGCCCGCAGGCGGCGCCGAGGGCUUCCACCUCCACGGGGUGCAGGAGAACUCCCCAGCCCAGCAGGCAGGCCUGGAGCCCUACUUUGACUUCAUCAUCACCAUUGGGCACUCGAGGCUGGCUGAGGAAGGUUUGGCAGUGCUUGGGGAAGGUGGGGGUCCCAGUGGCUGCAGGCUCAACCCUGGUCUGUGAACCUGGCCCAUCCACUACCUUGGCCCAUCCCCACAGUGACCCUGCUGAGGGCUGCUGCCCACUAAGGCCCUUGCCCCAUCUCAGGCCCACACUUGUCUGAGGGUCCUAGCCUGGGCAUGAGGUGGCCUUGGAGUCAGCCCCACUGCCCCCACAGAACAAGGAGAAUGACACCCUGAAGGCACUACUGAAAGCCAAUGUGGAGAAGCCCGUGAAGCUGGAGGUGUUCAAUAUGAAGACCAUGAGGGUGCGCGAG